GCUAUUACCACAUUCCUAAAGACGGUUCACCAUCAGGCCCCAGCCCCAUACCAGCCAGACCGCAGGAACACCACCAGAGCAAAAGGUGACCUGGGACUGCUUCACUUGGCACUGGUGCCAAGAGCAGCAUCCACCAAGCGAUGGCCUGAAGUACACGAACAAAUCCUCAACCACAGCUUGGGGUCUGGUAAAGCCAGCUGCAGCAUGACUUGUCCAUGGCCUUGUCACCUAAUUUAAUAUGAAAUGGAGUUGUGAUUCAUGUGCCGCAUCAAGUGUCAGAAACAGAGUUUAGCUAUGAAGGAGCCAGCUGUCUUUUCCUCAGAGCUGUCAGUGGCAGAAAUCCCCAAAGCAGACCAGUAUUUCAGCUUUAGCCCUCGCUGGGGUCGGGAGGAAUGAUGGAAGAUGCUGCUGCCACAUGAUGUCAUAGUCACUGUAUCAGAGAGCACUGCAGGCAGUAUCUGUCACAACCAACACAAGCCAUUCCACAAGGGAGCUCCGGUGAGUCCCUGUCAGUCCGGGACAAUUGCUGGUCCCAGACGCUUCUCCCACAGCACCAGUGCAAUGGAGCUUGCAGCUCCUGAUUUUUAAUCUGAGGGGAGUGCCAAUCAGGCCAGGAGUUACAAUAAUAAUGACAGGAAAUGAGCUGUAGUAUUUUCUGCAGGAACGACACAGAGCAUGACCAUAACCAAACUUCAUCCUGAAAGCAGCUGAUCCAAUCAACAGUUCAUACAAUAUUUAGUAUUUAAAAACAACAGAUUCAUGUUUCCUGCAAACAUACUGCUUUGUCAUUCCUGUAGAACAUUUCCUGACACAUUGUUUCCUUAUUUAAAGCCUUUCUAAUAUAACACACACAGUACAUCAGCUGAUACUUGUCACAGCUAUG